GGGUGUCCAAUCUUUUCGGUUCCCUGGACCACAUUGGAAGAAAAAGAAUUGUCUUGGGCCACACAUAACAUACAUUAACAAUAGCUGAUGAGCU